rnacentral:rRNA from 1 species
AUUGAACGCUGGCGGCAGGCCUAAUACAUGCAAGUCGAACGGUAACAGGAAAAACCUUGUUCUUUCGCUGUCGCGUGGCGGACGGGUGUGAAAUGUCUGUAAAACUGCUAGGAGGCGGGGGUUAACUAGUGGAAACGGUAGUAAAUACCGCUUAUCGUCGCAAGAGCAAAGAGCGGGACUGAAGGGCCUCCUUCCUUUCGCUGUGACCAGGUGGCAUUAGCUAGUUGGUAGGGUAACGGCUCACCAAGGCGACGAUCCCUAGCUGGUCUGAGAGGGUGACCAGCAACACUGGAACUGAGACACGGUCCAGACUCCUACGGGAGGCAGCAGUGGGGAAUAUUGCACAAUGGGCGCAAGCCUGAUGGAGCCACGCCGCGUGUGUGAAGAAGGUCUUCGGGUCGUAAAGUACUGUCAGCAGGGAAGAAGAGAUUAAUGUGAAUACCUUUACUCAUUGACGGUACCCAAAGAGGAAGCCCCGGCUAACUCCGUG